AAGACAGCUUGAACAGAAUUCCGACGGAAAAUUCCAUCAGAUUUUAUGCCAUCGGAAAUUCCGAUCGUGUGUACAGCGCAUGAGACUUUGUUUGACUCCAUCAAUAAUACAGUGAGCAUUGAUAAUAUGCAAAUCUCAAUAGUCAAAUCCGGCUAUUCAGAAGUCUUUGACUAACUGAUUGAUGAAGGUGUUCCUUCACUUUGUAUGGUUAUGCAUUUUGCAUUUUUUUUUAUUUCAUACACUAGACUAGAUUGUAAACCUUUCUCAGAAAUACAGUUAAGCUCCUAUGCAAAUGUGAUGGAACUAAAUGGGUUCUAAAAUUGAUUUAGAAGGUGGUUGAUUUCACAUUCUCAUCUUUUAUAAUCAAAUUUGUCAAAAUAACGGAGGCAGCCUUUAGAAUUAAAGGAUAAUUUCUACUGUAUUUUUUUUAUUAAUAUAUAUAUUUAUACAAUAUAUUAACAUGCAGUAAACUGAUACUACUUAUUAAACAAUAUUUGCUACUUUAUUUCCAGUAUUAAAACCUGCACACCAAUCACAUAUUUAGCCCCUGUCAAUAUUUGCUACUUUAUUUCCAGUAUAAAAGCCUGCACACCAAUUACAUAUUUAGCAGACAAUAUAAAAGUAAAUCUUUAUUAUUAUUAUAAUGAUCAGUUUAAUUAACAAAUAACACAAUACAAAGGUUUUAAUACAUUUCUUGUAACAGCAAGCAGUAUAUUUUAAGCAGAUAUUACAAGCAUGGUUUCAUAUUAUCUUUCUUUCAUACAGGACCAAAAAAACUUUGGAGAUGGUUAAAAAAAACUAGAACAAGAUUAGAGGUGUUGCCCAUAUCAAUCAAUGAUUCUUUGAUUUACUUUUCUUAUACAGGUUAGAGAAUGAAUGCUAAUGCAGAUGAAAGGUUUCUUUGGGCAAUGGACCAGUUUUAAAUUUGCUCCAGUUUUUAUCUUAUCCAUUUUCUCCUUGUUAUUGCAUUUCCUUGCAGCUUUAUUUUAUUUUUUUAUGUAAGAUUGAGUGUUGGUCCUUUAGACUGACAAUAUUAUAAAAUAUAUUGGGGUAAACAUUUUUUGCUAGUAUUAGAAUGUGACAUAAAGUGAUGAGGGCAACACCUGAAGGAAAAAUGAGGUUUAAUGAAGGGAAAUUAAUGUUUGUUUUUCUCCCUUUAACACGCUAAAUGGUCAAUAUAGUUUAUUUGCAUUUUAAAAGGAAUCUGUAUUUUGCACAAAGUAGGUUCAUUUUAUAAAAGGCAUGAUAAGCAUCCUGUAUUUGCCUUCCCACCCUUUCCCACCAUGCUGACCAAUUUACAUAUACCCUGGGAAACUCCUGGGUACAUUUCAACUAACCGCUAACUUGUAGUCAGAGUCUUCACCGAGGAAUGCGACACCCUACCUACCAAGGCCUGAGGUGUGCCUUAGCCUCGCUGGACAGUAUGCCUAUAAGUGGGCAUACCCUGAAAGUGAUAGUGAAGAAAUAAAUGAUGAAAAAUGAAAUGAAAAAAGGGGGAACGAGUGGGUACCCAAAAACCCCACCGACGCCGGAGAUGAGAGGGGAGGAGGGAUAAAUAGCCCUCCGAUUCCUCCUACAAACCCAGGCUAGCCUGCGGUCAGCCUUUACACUAUCAUGUGACAAAGCUUAGCUCUGGUGGUGGGAAACCUCAAGGAAGGCAAUUACAGGAUACAUAUUUUUCUUUAUUUACAGUGAACUUAUUAUUUUGCUAUUUAAUUAAUUACUUAUCACUAUGGCUAAAGUAAAGGUAUAAAUGAAAGCUGAAUUCCAAGCAAGCAGCUAAAUAUACAGUUUAACUACAUAUAUGGAAACCACUCUACCUGCCAAAGGAUUUGUGAUUAUUUGCAUUAAUUCUGGGGACCAAGGCACCCCUGUCAGACAGAGCAGUCAUGUCAUUAACUUCAACUUCAUUAGCACAGUUUUGAUCAAGAAUUACACAAUGAAAGAUCACCAGUACAGUAAUGAAUUAUAACACUUCUCAUCUUGCCAACAUGUAUACUGUUAGAACUGAGCUCCUAGUUCUGUUUUUUGUUUUUCAAGCUUUAGCACUGCAAUACAAAAUAUUACAGAAAGCUAAUAUUUAGGGUGCUAGUAAAACAUAUUUUUUUUUUUUAUAUGAAAACGUAAUGAAUUAUUCUUAUUAUUUUAUAUCUGCCUGGAGUUCAGCUUUGAUUAUACAAUAAGCAUUUGGUCUUUUACUGUUUCAUCAGAAAAUAUGUACAAAACAAUGGGUGUUAUUUAGUGGCACAGAUGAAAUGUGAAUUAUUUUAAGCAAUCAGUAAGACAUUUAUUUUAACAUUUAAAUAACAAAAAUAAAUAAAAAUCUUCCAGUUUUCUCUGUUCAAAACACAUUUCUCUGUUCAAACACAUUUAUAGAGUAGAUAUCAAAUCAUGAAUAGUGGACGUGAAAGCACCAAGAAACUAUUAGCACCGGGUCAUGGUUUGGCCCCUUGUUUUCUUGAACCCCAGUCACUGGUAUGACCAUGGAGACCCUGUUACUAUGCCUUUGACAUUUGGUCUUUUUCCUCAUUUUUUCAGCAUUUGAACCUCUUUCUUGUCCAUUUUCUCUUUAGUUUAUUCUCAUGUAUUCCUAAUUACCGUAUGUAUGGUCAGAAAAAUGUUAUGCAUCAACAGCAUUAUUAAUGAUAAGCGUUCCUUACUAAUUAAGCACUGCAUUUACAUUUUUUUUUUUUCCUCUGACGGUCUUUGCAACAUAAUUGCCUUUUUAAAUUAUUAUUGUGGAUCAUUUAAUAUGUUUACAAUGGAACUGAAAGAAAAAAAAUGCACAGAACGUAUAUUUAAAUAUAGUUUUUUUAAAUAUAAAAAUGUUAUAUCUGAAUAGCACUUGAAGUUGUGUCAAUGCUAAAGAAGUGACCUAUCAAAGGUUAAUACCAAGUAACAUUGUGUUUAAUCCUUACAUGUAAGAGAUUAUGUUCCUGAAUCACACUGUAAACCCAGAUGUUACAUAUGGUAACAAUGUAAAAUCACCUUUUUUUACCAUGUUGGUAAUUGUUUUGUAGAUUUUCAGAUUUGAUGAAUAAAUAAAUAUGCAGUCAUUUUUU